GGCGUGCCUAACACAUGCAAGUCGAACGGGCUAUUACCUUGCACUGGAUUUCAGUACAAGGUAGUAGUCAGUGGCGAACGGGUGAGUAACACGUAGGUAACCUACCCUUAAGAAGGGGAUAACCCUGUGAAAACGGGGCUAAUACCCCAUAAGACCACGGGCUGGAAGACUUGUGGUAAAAGUGGCAACACGCUUAAGGAUGGGCCUGCGGCCUAUCAGGUAGUUGGUAGGGUAAUGGCCUACCAAGCCUAUGACGGGUAGCCGGUCUGAGAGGACGGACGGCCACACGGGGACUGACACACGGCCCACACUCCUACGGGAGGCAGCAGUGGGGAAUUUUGCGCAGUGGGGGAAACCCUGACGCACCGACGCCGCGUGGAGGAUGAAGGCCUUCGGGUUGUACACUCCUUUUAUUGGGGACAAUGAUGAUGGUACCCAAUGAAUAAGCCACGGCUAACUCUGUGCCAGCAGCCGCGGUAAGACAGAGGUGGCAAGCGUUGUUCGGAUUUACUG
rnacentral:rRNA from 1 species